rnacentral:misc_RNA from 1 species
UACGGAGGGUGCAAGCAUUAAUCGGAAUUACUGGGCGUAAAGGAUGCGUAGGCGGAUAAGUAAGUCAAAUGUGAAAUUCCGGUACUCAAUACCGGAGCUGCAUUUGAUACUGCUUUUCUAGAGGGUAGGCGGAGAAAAUGGAAUUCCGUGUGUAGCGGUGAAAUGCGUAGAUAUACGGAAGAAUACCGGUGGCGAAGGCGAUUUUCUAGCUUACUACUGACGCUGAGGCAUGAGAGCGUGGGGAGCAAACAGG